GAUGAACGCUGGCGGCGUGCCUAAUACAUGCAAGUCGAGCGAAUGGAUUAAGAGCUUGCUCUUAUGAAGUUAGCGGCGGACGGGUGAGUAACACGUGGGUAACCUGCCCAUAAGACUGGGAUAACUCCGGGAAACCGGGGCUAAUACCGGAUAAUAUUUUGAACUGCAUGGUUCAAAAUUGAAAGGCGGCUUCGGCUGUCACUUAUGGAUGGACCCGCGUCGCAUUAGCUAGUUGGUGAGGUAACGGCUCACCAAGGCAACGAUGCGUAGCUGACCUGAGAGGAUGAUCGGCCACCCUGGGACUGAGACACGGCCCAGACUCCUACGGGAGGCAGCAGUAGGGAAUCUUCCGCAAUGGACGAACGUCUGACGGAGCAACGCCGCGUGAGUGAUGAAGGCUUUCGGGUCGUAAAACUCUGUUGUUAGGGAAGAACAAGUGCUAGUUGAAUAAGCUGGCACCUUGACGGUACCUAACCAGAAAGCCACGGCUAACUACGUGCCAGCAGCCGCAGUAA
rnacentral:rRNA from 1 species